rnacentral:rRNA from 1 species
AUGAUUGCCCUGCUCCCAAAGAAGGAUGGUGCUAUCAAAAUGAGUGAUUUUCGGUCGAUUAGUCUCAUUCCCUCUAUUGCAAAGCUGUUCUCCAAAGUUCUGCCCAUUCGGCUUGCCAGCGUCAUUGACAAGCUGAUCAACCCAGCGCAAACAACGUUCCAAAGGAAGAAGUGCAUCCACGACAACUAUUUAUAUGUGCAAAACACGGUCAGCAAACUGCAUAGAAGCAAAACCCCGACGCUUUUGCUGAAACUUGACAUUGCUAGGGCCUUUGAUUGCGUCUCUUGGGAAUACAUCUUGGAAUUGUUGGAGGUUCUCGACUUCCCUCUACGAUGGAGGGAUUGGAUAGCUCUCCUUAUCUCGACAUUAUCCUCCUCCUGUCUCCUAAACGGGGUGCCGGGGGACUGCAUUGAACACCAUCGAGGGCUUAGACAGGGAGACCCCCUGUUGCCGCUGCUGUUUAUACUGUAUCGACACUCUCCACCGCCUGCUAGAGGCGACCACUAUGUUAGGCCUGCUGGCGCCACCACCGGCGAUAGCUGCUAG